AUUGAACGCUGGCGGCAUGCCUUACACAUGCAAGUCGAACGGCAGCACGGGAGCAAUCCUGGUGGCGAGUGGCGAACGGGUGAGUAAUACAUCGGAACGUGCCCAAUCGUGGGGGAUAACGCAGCGAAAGCUGUGCUAAUACCGCAUACGAUCUACGGAUGAAAGCAGGGGACCGCAAGACCUUGCGCGAAUGGAGCGGCCGAUGCCAGAUUAGGUAGUUGGUGAGGUAACGGCUGAUUAG
rnacentral:rRNA from 1 species